AUGCACUUGAUUAAUUGAUAAGCAAGUGUGACUACCUUUAUAAAAGCCAAAGUUUUAGAGUUUGCUGGUCUGGAGCAUUCGGGUGUGUGUUAACACAAUGCCAAGGAAGAAAGACAUCAGCAAUGAUCAAUGAGAUAAGCAAUUGUUGCUGCCCAUAAAGAACUGGCAAGGGCUAUAAUGCCACUUCAAAACAAGUUAAAGUCCAU